rnacentral:rRNA from 1 species
CACAAGCGGUGGAGCAUGUGGUUUAAUUCGAUGCAACGCGAAGAACCUUACCUGGUCUUGACAUCCACAGAACUUUCCAGAGAUGGAUUGGUGCCUUCGGGAACUGUGAGACAGGUGCUGCAUGGCUGUCGUCAGCUCGUGUUGUGAAAUGUUGGGUUAAGUCCCGCAACGAGCGCAACCCUUAUCCUUUGUUGCCAGCGGUCCGGCCGGGAACUCAAAGGAGACUGCCAGUGAUAAACUGGAGGAAGGUGGGGAUGACGUCAAGUCAUCAUGGCCCUUACGACCAGGGCUACACACGUGCUACAAUGGCGCAUACAAAGAGAAGCGACCUCGCGAGAGCAAGCGGACCUCAUAAAGUGCGUCGUAGUCCGGAUUGGAGUCUGCAACUCGACUCCAUGAAGUCGGAAUCGCUAGUAAUCGUGGAUCAGAAUGCCACGGUGAAUACGUUCCCGGGCCUUGUACACACCGCCCGUCACACCAUGGGAGUGGGUUGCAAAAGAAGUAGGUAGCUUAACCUUCGGGAGGGCGCUUACCACUUUGUGAUUCAUGACUGGGGUGAAGUCGUAACAAGGUAACCGUAGGGGAACCUGCGGUUGGAUCAC